rnacentral:rRNA from 1 species
UUGGAGGGCAAGUCUGGUGCCAGCAGCCGCGGUAAUUCCAGCUCCAAUAGCGUAUAUUAAAGUUGUUGCAGUUAAAAAGCUCGUAGUUGAAUUUCGGGGUCAGUAGAUUGGUCGUGCCACUGGUAUGUACUGGUCUUACUGGCUCCUCCUUCCUGAUGAACCGUAAUGCCAUUAAUUUGGUGUUGCGGGGAGACUGGACUGUUACUUUGAAAAAAUUAGAGUGUUUAAAGCAGGCUAACGCUUGAAUACAUUAGCGUGGAAUAAUAAAAUAGGACGGUGGUCCUGUUUUGUUGGUUUCUGAAUCACCGUAAUGAUUAAUAGGGAUAGUUGGGGGCAUUAGUAUUCAAUUGUCAGAGGUGAAAUUCUUGGAUUUAUUGAAGACUAACUACUGCGAAAGCAUUUGCCAAGGAUGUUUUCAUUAAUCAAGAACGAAAGUUAGGGGAUCGAAGACGAUCAGAUACCGUCGUAGUCUUAACCAUAAACUAUGCCGACUAGGGAUCGGAUGAUGUUAAUUUUUUAAUGACCCAUUCGGCGCCUUACGGGAAACCAAAGUGUUUGGGUUC